UCCAUGGUUCGAUUUUUUAUGCUGGUGAAUUACACGAUGGCGGCUAAGGGUAGGUUGAAGUACCUUUGUGAGUGUUUUUUAUGUUGACAAUAUUAUAUACUAAACGAGAGCCUUUUGUUUGAAAAAAAAUACUUAUUAAAGCUAAAAAUACAAGAGAGAUCUCAUGGAGUCACCUAAAACAGCCAGCUAAACAGAGGAAAUCAGGAGCCCUGUCCUUCUUCUUCUGUUGCAACAUUCAACAGAAAAUUCGGGCAACAAAGGAAAGAAAAAGCUUUGAACUGAAAAGCUCACUCCUUCCUCUCAGUCUCUCAGUCUCUCAGUCUCUUAGUCAGUCAGUGUAGAGCUCUAAUGACAGAUAAGAAUCAAAGUGACAGGUUAAUGUCAGUUGAUAAUUCGUUCGGAAAGUUUCCUGAUCAUCUCGUAAUAGAAAUUUUCAUCCGAGUUCCUGUCUCAAAGUGGGCACAAAUCUCCUGCGUUAAAAAACAGUGGGCCAAUUUGUUUCAAGGAGAACUUUUGUGGCAAGCUACUCUUGCUAUGACAUUUCCCUUGGCUAGCCAAGCUAAAAGGUGGCCAGGACCUAUCCCUUGAGGAUUGAGCAAAAGGUAUAAUAACACGUCUACUUCAAUCCCUUUUUUUUCCCUCUCUUUUAGUAAUUCCUUUCUUCUGAGUUUUCAUAUUUUGUUGUUCUUAAAAAAAUGCAAUAUGAUCAUUGAUGGUCUAUAUCUAGUCAUUGCCUUAAGGACAAAUUCCUUUUCCUGUUCUAAUUUCCCGCUUGAAAAUUAAAUCAAACGACAACUUUUGGCUAGGCUUGAUUUGUUGGCAUAUUAUUAAAGAUCAUGUUAUGACUUGUGCCUGCAUGUUUUUUAUUCAUAUCUUAAACUGUAGCUCUUACUUUCCCCUAGGUGCUGAUUUGAUGCCUGUGCUUAUCGUCAUAUAUCCAUGCAUUAUAUUUUGCUAAGGUACUGGAAAUUUUCGCAAGAGAUUUGAAGCUUUAUAUGUCCGUAAACAUAUCUUUUCUCUGGAUGGCGAGAUUGAUGAGAUCGUGGGCUAUAGUUAUUUGUUUCUAAAAGAGCAGCUUGAGCGUUCAACUAUGCCACCCUCUUCUAGUAUACUGCACGAAACCUUCAUAGGUGUGUUUCAAAUUUCACUUCUCUAUCUUGCUUUCUCUGCUUUUAUAAACCUGGAACUGAAAAUUAAUCUGUGAAAUAAAAAUUUAUGAUGUGAGUACUGAUCCCUGAUCUCAAGUUUGAUGGUUUAAAGUUAAUAUAGGCUAUUUAAUCUUGCAUUUGCUCCUAGCUUGUGGACAUGUUGCAAAAGUUUUGGUUUACAUAACAUGAUGUAAGUAGAAGUUUACAAUCUCAAACUUGUAUCGCAAAUUGUGAUCCAUUAUGCCACCUAAUGUUCUGGAAUUUUAGCAUCGGUAUGUGGUAAUGAAAUGCAUAUUGUCCACCGUCGUGACAACGAUAAUACAUAUUGCAUACCAAAUCUGAUGGGAAAUUUUGUUGUUUGCGCUGAGUUUAAUUAAUACCAGGUUGUGAUCUCAUUUGACCUCCUGACUUAAAAUUACUGUGUUUAGUAAAUCAGUUUAUUGCUUGUGGGAAAUCGAGAGUCAUGGCUCAUGAUCUUGCUUCCCAGAUCUGGCUGGCUGUUCUCGACAAUUUAGAGGAAAAUGAGAAAACUUUUCAAUUACUUAAACGUAACAAAUGUCGAAAUGCAGAAGAUACAGACAUGAUUAAGUUAAUAUUGUUGCUGCAACGUGUUCAUUUUCCUUGAUACGCAGUGCUAGUACAUUGAAUCAUUCCUUAUGAAUAGGUUUUUUUCUCGUACCCAUACUCAAGAUCGAUCAAAGUCCAAUGGAGGGUGUUUGAAAAGCUAUUCACAGAUUUUCACGACUACUUCAAUUAUGCAGAUUAUUAUGAUGUGCUGGGUUGUGCAAAGAACAAGUUUCAACCAAUACCAUCCACUUGGUUAGCUUACAGAUCAACCUUAAGUGCACAUCUUUUUCGAAUUAGUCACAAGUACAUUUGUAUAUAUGGAAGUCACAAGAGUUAUGCUUGAAUGUUGUUGUAUAAAGAUGUAUUUUUUUUAUCUUUCUUUUGCAAACUAGCCUUGUGGCCAACAAUUAUAUAUAGUGCAAUUUGAAAUUCUUAUUA